GCCAGGCAGCAGCAGCAGCAGCAGCAGCAGGGCCCUGGGCUGGAGGUCCUCACUCCGGAGGAGGAGGAGGAGGACCUGAAUAGAUGAGAAAGCUGAGCCAAAACUAAGCAAAUGAACUUCAACAGGGAGAAAUGUCCCUAAGUUCCAGGAGUCAAAUCAAAAUGGCUUCAAAAUGUUCCCUCAACUUAUACAUGAAGUCAACUUACACUUUAUGAUACGGUGGAAAGCAGAUGCCUUCUCCAGGUGCUGAUUUACCCUAAUAAGCUCUUUACAUAUGGGUAAUUUCCUUUGGAUGAGCUACACAGUAGCGCUUUAAGAUCCUCAGUACAGCUAUGACUCACCCUCAUUAGCAGUCUUCACUUGUUCCAUUUUCAGAUUUAGAUUCUUGUGCAUCUAAUAGUAUUAUUCCAGGGGUUAUGCAGGUGCCAUGUCUAGUGGCUAAUUUACUCUAAACUGGAUGUUUAUCUGGAAUGCUCUCUCCCCUGUUAACUUGACAAGGUAAUGAAAGCAGUCCUACUAAAGAACCUCUUGAAAUGCACCACUUUUGCAGAAUAUAAGAAUAAUUUUUGCUGGUAAGUAAGAAAUGCUUGCGCACAUCCAUAUCUAGAGUGGAAGGCCAGAAGAGAAAGUACAUCAUCACAUUAAACCAAUGGUAUCUGACCCAGGAACAGCUAGGAUUAUGAACUCUAAGCAAACUUUGAACUUUGCUAUCAGAAGCUAAGACAAAGUAUUCCUCUUCACAUGAUUAUGAUCAUAUGGAAGAAAGUGGAGAUGCACUUGAUGGGUUCAUUGGAUGUUCAUGGGGUUCACAUUCCCACAUGCGAACAUCUAGAUGUUGAGAAGAAAAUCUGAAGAAAGGAACUACUUUACAUGCAUAUCAUGGAACUUAUACACUACACAAUAAUGGCUUCAUAUUACAGGGGGCAAGUCCUUUCACAUACAUCCACGGCAACAGAAUCAUGAGACUACAGAAACCAGGAACUUGCAGUUUAGGGAGGGGUAUUUAGAUGUCUCAAGGGGCCUUAAUACCCUGAAGGCACAGGAUCUCAUCUGAUCUUGGAAGCUAAGCAGGGUCAGGACUUGUUAGUACUUGGA